UGAAAAUUCACUCUUACAGGAUUUGGUGGCUAGUUCAGACUAACCAACUUUCCCUGAGUGUCUACUAUAUGCCGUGUGCUUUGUGCUGUGUGAACAACAAUGACUGGCCACAGAGGAAGCACCCCAAGGGCCCAGCAGGCUCUGCGCUCCCACAGCUGCUGGGCCACCUCCCUGGCCAGGCUGCAGGAGCCACAGGCUGACGGACACUCACCACGUGAUUCAGACAACCACCACAGGAUGCUCUGAUGACCAGGCCAGGCAGGGACUUUUCAGAUUCGGAAACUGAUGCCAAAGAAGGGGAGGCCUUGGUCACACAGGACGCCAAGAUCACACAGGAGUUAGUGGCAUGGCCAGAACUCAGAGCCGUGGCUCCCCAUCCAGGACUUUCAACUUGACCAGAUAGACGCAGCAACUUAGGAGGCAGUUGGGAACCGUCAGAGGCAGCAGAGAGAAGAGGCAGCUGACAGCCUGAGAGCGAGGGAAGAGAGAGAAACGCCAUUCAAGCAGAGGAGUCUGGGGUCCUUUGGUCUCAAACGGCAAGGCUGUCGGAGACACGCCCGCCCUGCCCUGGCUCUUGAGACAAAGCACAGUUUAAACACAUCCUGGGGUCCAGCAUUAUUCACAGUAGCCAAGACAUGGGAGCGACCCAAGUGUCAGUGAUGGAUGAAUGGAUAAAGAAAAUGUGGUAUAUGUGUAUACAGCAGUAUUAUUUAGCCAUAAACAGAAGGAAAUCUUGCCAUUUGUGGCAACACGGAUGGACCUUGAGGGCGCUAUGCUAAGAGAAAUGUCAGACGGAGAAAGACAAACACCGUAUGACCUCACUUGUAUGUGGAAUCUAACGUAUAUGGACGUAUUUCUGUGCACGUUAAUCCCUUCCAGUCUUAGCCCUCUUCACAGGUCUCCAAGUGUGUCUGCGUCUGUGAACUCACAUGAGCGUCCCAGCAGCUCUCUGAGUCGGUGGCAUACCCUCAUUUGUAUAGCUGGGGAGACUGAGGCUCAGAAAGGUGAAGUGAGAAGAAAUACUCCUGGGAGGGUCCACGUGUAAUGAAGGCUUGUCUGAUGUCCCUGCCGCUGCCCUUCCCACGCCCAGAAAGUAAAGACAAGGGUCAGGAGGGGCCCUGAGGGAGAGGAAGGGCUGGCUCAGAGGCUGCCCUGCUUGGCCAAGUCCAGCUCCACCCCCCCACCCCCUCCUUGCCUGCUCCAUACAG
rnacentral:lncRNA from 1 species